AGGUACGCAGAGGAUGAGGAAAUGGACGGAGCCAGAUCCCCUCCGCUUCCUUGUGAAGGCGGAGAGACUCCGGGGCCGGAGCUGCGGCGCUGGCCCGACCAACCCCUGCGCCCCCUGCACCCCAACCCGGGGCCUGGGGCGCGCGGGAGGUGGACGAAGCGGAGUGCAUCAAGCCUGUCAAAGUGGAAAAAAGGGCGGGAAGUGGCGUGGCCAAGAUUCGCAUUGAAGAUGACGGGAGCUACUUCCAAAUUAACCAAGACGGCGGGACCCGGAGGCUGGAGAAGGCCAAGGUCUCGCUAAACGACUGCCUGGCGUGCAGCGGCUGCAUCACCUCCGCAGAGACCGUGCUUAUCACCCAGCAGAGCCACGAGGAGCUGAAGAAGGUUCUAGAUGCUAACAAGAUGGCGGCACCCAGUCAGCAGAGGCUGGUUGUAGUUUCGGUCUCACCACAGUCUAGAGCAUCGCUGGCUGCACGGUUUCAGCUGAAUCCUACAGAUACUGCCAGGAAAUUAACCUCAUUCUUUAAAAAAAUAGGGGUGCACUUCGUCUUCGACACCGCCU
rnacentral:lncRNA from 1 species